rnacentral:rRNA from 1 species
GCUCCUACCGAUUGAGUGAUCCGGUGAAUAGUUUGGACUGUAGCAAUGUUCAGUUCUUGAACAAUGCAAUGGAAAGUUUAAUGAACCUUAUCACUUAGAGGAAGGAGAAGUCGUAACAAGGUUUCUGU